CUAACAAGGAUUCCCCCAGUAACGGCGAGUGAAGCGGGAACAGCUCAAAUUUGAAAUCUCCGGUGCUUGCACCGGCGAGUUGUAGUUGCGAGAAGCACUUUCUAGGCGGAUCGGUGGUGCCUAAGUUGCUUGGAACAGCAUGUCGCAGAGGGUGACAACCCCGUCUGUGGCGCGACCGGCCGCUGACGAUGUGCUUUCGAAGAGUCGGGUUGUUUGGGAAUGCAGCCCAAAAUGGGUGGUAAACUCCAUCUAAAGCUAAAUACUGGCGUGAGACCGAUAGCGAAGGAAACGAAUGGACUCAGCAAUGCGCCGUUUGAGAUUCAGCCGGUGGGCGGGAUCGGCGUGGGGUUUGCGGAUCUGAAUGGACCGCGGCUUCUCGCUCGUUUCUCCUCGCCGUCGCACUUCUCUUGGGCGCGCGUCAACGUCGGUUGGGACUGGGUCUGAAAGGUNCCGGGAAGGUAGGUCUGGACCUUCGGGUUGGGACUGUUACAGCCCGGUUCUCUCAUGGCUCGGGCCUGACCGAGGAGUCGCAGCGCAUGCCUCUUGUGGCUAGGGUGCCGUCCUUCCGGCCGGUUGUCGAACGUGGUGGACUGCUUGCAGUGCUCCGCGACUGCUGCCGGUCGUUGGGGUGGUGAUCU
rnacentral:rRNA from 1 species